rnacentral:lncRNA from 12 species
CUCACUCUUACCUGCCUUCCCAUAGUAACACUGCUGUCCACUAAAGCAGCAGUUGAUAGCUUCACAUUCAGCACUACUGAUACCAGGCUGUCCACAUUGGAUCUGCUCAUAAUCAGCUACAGCACAUUUGUCCAAAGGCUCAGCCUUCACUACUGGCUUCUGAAUCUGAAGCUUCUGAGGAAACUGCUGAUUAGUCUGUUGAACUGGCUUCUGAAUCUGAAACUUCUGAGGAAACUGCUGAUUAGUCUGUUGAACAGGCUUCUGAAUCUGAAACUUCUGAGGAAACUGCUGAUUAGUCUGUUGAACAGGCUUCUGAAUCUGAAACUUCUGAGGAAACUGCUGAUUAGUCUGUUGAACUGGCUUCUGAAACCACUGGUCAGUUUGCUGGAGCAUCAGAGCUUGAGGGUUCUGGGGCACUUUCCUCAAUUUACUCAACUUUGGAAGAGCAUGACAGAAAGCACACAGUGCCAAUACCUGAAACAAACACCAACUUCCAGCCAUUGUCCAACAGCUAAUCACACUAUUGAGAUGCUACCCUUUGGUCUUUUUGUACUCUACAGAUCUCAGCUAAUUAGCUAUAGUCCCUCCCUCUUCAUUAACAAUCAUGAUUCUCCAAACGAGUGUGAGCUCAUGCAACUGGGCGAUACUCAUUUGUUCUUAAGGCAUUGUCCACACGAAGCCAGAGCUUUCCCUAUCCGAUCAUUUUAUUUCUCAUCUCAAGAAAUAUCUCCGUCCACACAAAACUACAAAACAAUGUUGUAUACAUGCCAGACCAACAUGUGGCACAGUAAUUCUGCCACAGAGAUACACUAAAAACGCAGAAGAAGACUUGGACUAUGCGCAUAAACCUUGCGAGCAGUUAACAAACGAACAUGGAACAAUACAUUUAUUAAUCUGUGUUAAUGUUAGUUAAUAAAAAGACAAUCAUUCAGUUUUUGUUCAUGUUUUUGUUGCUGUUACAUGACGUAGUGGUGUCUUACUAGGGGCGAGACAUGGGCUGAUGACAUCAUCGUUUCAGGAAAUAUACGGAUUCACUGUCCACACGAAAACGCAAGGGUGGCGUUUUCAAAUAUAUCAACUCUGUAACCCGGUUUCAAAAAAUAUCGGUUUCACUCUCCCAAAACGCCGGAUCCGUGUGGAUGAAAUGCCUAUACGACAUAAAAUUUAUGCGAAUACAGCGAAACGCGUCUCCGUGUGGACGGGGCCUAAGACUCAGUUUUCCUUGUUCUUCCUCAUUUGAAUUCAGCCUGGGUUUAAUCCUUCAUUAGAUGAAUCUGAUUGUUGAUGUUCUGACAAUUCUGGAUUGUUUUAUAUUUUGAAACACAUCUUGGAAUGUACAGUGGCCUGUAGCACGAAGCCGGUUUCAG